GUGAGUACAGGUCUGUGAAGUGUUGUGAGUUGGUCUUCGCUGUUCCUUGUCUGUGUUGUGUAGCACAUCACGCUUCAUCACAUCUUAUUGACGUCAUUGAACGUUUGUUGCGUUUCGAAUUCGUAGCCGUAUAAAAUUUUCAAGCAAAGGGUCAGUCCCUACCUCACCAGUACCGCGAUCUGUGUCACAGUUUCAGCAAGUUGCAAUCGUUAUUACUAUCAACACGAAGCCGAAGGAGUCGAGAUAAUCUCCAAGCUAAGCUUCCUCUAGUCUCCUAACAAGCCCGGUGGUUGGUUCUCUGAUUGUGUGGAGUAAUUUGGUAUUCAGCAUCAGCAACAUG